CCAGAAGGUGGAAUGAGCCAUGGGGGGACCCCAGAAUGUGGAAGGAGCCAUUGGGGACCCCACAAAGGUUUGGGGUGCACGGCUGACCCCCAUCCCCUCGGCAGGGGCGGCCGUGGGGACCGCACGGGGCGUUACGGGGGUGCCCCACCCCUCUCCGAGGACGGCUCCCGCAGCCAGCGCGACCACGACUAUCGCGACAUGGACUAUCGCGGCUACGGGGGACCCCCGGAGGGGCCCCCCGCUGCCGGGACCCCCCCUCAGCAUUACAAGGUACAAGGAGCUGUGUGCACCGUGAUAAAAAAGAGAUAAAACGGCCAACAAAUAUUCUUUUCAAGUGACCCAAUGACCCAACACCCGUGCGCUGCACUGCAGCAUUUUUUACCCAAUCACUUAAAACCACCCAAAAACCCCCAGGAGAAGAACAGGAAAAAGAAAGAAAGACAAGAAACAACACCCUAAAUAAAUCCUCUAUCUUGUCUCCUGCUCUCUAAACU
rnacentral:lncRNA from 1 species